GGUUUUUUUGUGUUUUUUUUGUGGUGUUUUGUCUGUUUUCAUUGUUUGGGUUGGUUUUGGUGGUCUGGGUUUUUUUGUGUGGUGUGGCUGUUUUGGAUAAGGGGGUGUUUGCCCCCAUGACCAUGACUUUUUGGUGACCUCGCAGAACAAGGUCCAGAUCAUGGUGUGAUCUGAUAAAGGCUGCUGGGAGGCUUUGCCCGGAGCAGGAUGCUGGGAUCAACUCUGAGGGACGUGGUAUUUUGGGCAACCCCCCUGCACUCGCCYCCCAAAGAGGAGAGUUAGAAUGCCACUGAAAGAAAGGAGUGGAGAGGAAUGUUCUGUGAAAGGGCAGCAACCCAACAGCAGAGGACUGGCACUAGGGAGGUGGUGGUGUGUGACAGCAGCCUAGAAGUUCGUUGGGAGCAAAGCCAAGAAACCUACGUUGUGCAAGAAGAGAAGAGGAGCAAGGAAGAAAGCAGUUUGCAGCAUGGACAGGUCUAGGUAGCACAACAAGUCUGGCCCAAAC
rnacentral:lncRNA from 1 species